rnacentral:rRNA from 1 species
CAGUAGCCGCGGUAAUACGUAGGGUGCGAGCGUUAAUCGGAAUUACUGGGCGUAAAGCGUGCGCAGGCGGUUGUGUAAGACAGGUGUGAAAUCCCCGGGCUUAACCUGGGAACUGCGCUUGUGACUGCAAAGUUAGAGUGCGGCAGAGGGGGAUGGAGUUCCGCGUGUAGCAGUGAAAUGCGUAGAUAUGCGGAGGAACACCGAUGGCGAAGGCAAUCCCCUGGGCCUGCACUGACGCUCAUGCACGAAAGCGUGGGGAGCAAACAGGAUUAGAUACCCGCGUAGUCCCUGUCUCUUAUAC